AAACAUUAUCCACCUGACCGUUUGCUCUUUUUCCGUUUGCUUUUUUCCGGUUCAGGCCUUUCUUGCAUUGCUUUUUCCUUUUCUUUUCUUUUCUUUCUUUCUUUUUAUUUUUUAUUUUUUUUAGCAGGAUCGACCUCGAUUCCUCUUUCGUUCACAAUAAGCCUCGGCAACAUACCGGACAACACUCCACAAGUGUACUGAUUCGGACUCAACCUCAGUCUGAGUUGUCUCAACCGAUCAAACAACUUGGCCAGAUCCACCAGAUGCCCCUCUUCUGAUUGGGACUUUGCUAUCAUGUCAUCAACAUAGC
rnacentral:lncRNA from 1 species